rnacentral:rRNA from 1 species
UACGUAGGGUGCAAGCGUUGUCCGGAAUUAUUGGGCGUAAAGAGCUCGUAGGCGGUCUGUCGCGUCUGGUGUGAAACUCAAGGCUUAACCUUGGGCCUGCAUCGGGUACGGCAGACUAGAGUGCGGUAGGGGAGACUGGAAUUCCUGGUGUAGCGGUGAAAUGCGCAGAUAUCAGGAGGAACACCGGUGGCGAAGGCGGGUCUCUGGCCGUAACUGACGCUGAGGAGCGAAAGCAUGGGGAGCGAACAGG